CACCGCCCUGCCCGGCGCCAGCCCGCGGUCCCAGCCACUCCUGAGGGCGCGCCGGGCACCCAGCGCGUAGGCUCGCCCACGGAGGUCGACACGGAAGUCUGGACCGCCGAGGCGUGUGGCUCGUCUACCGGCAGGUGUUCUUUUGAUCACAAUGGAUAGUGACUCUUCUCUUCUGCCUGAGAGUGGUUCAAAAUAGUUACCAUCCAAGCACAAGAUGAUCCCAUGCUGGUUAUUCAGUGCUCCAGACUCCUGAGGGAGACGCCCUGAAGUCGGUAGACAUCAUGUUGGAUUGGGACAGUAACUUGCUGGGUCACCUCCUUCCUGUCACUUUGCCUCUUCUGCAAAAUAGAACUGCCACGCACCAUCCUCACCGUAGUGCCACAAAUGUCAAGUUUAUGUAAAUGCAAACUGCAUUCAGGUCUAUUCUGUUUUCCUUUCAAACACAGAUACUUUAAUGGCUUAAACCACUGUGACCCUGUAACUCUACAGGGUAGCGUUAGUUUUUUAUAAUUAUCAUCUUGUGACUGCACAUGAGAGACUCACAAAGCACUUGUGGUCCAACUGGACUGCCUCCAUAACAUGAGGAUCACACACAGUCGAUAACGAUUAGUGCCAAGGCCAAGAAAAUGAGCAUCCAAUGACAUCUGGACCAGGAGGAAAGCACAGGGCACUGGGCUGGAAGAUGAGCUGUCCCAAGUGGCCCACUCCACCCGAGGGAUGCCCUCCAGUUGACAGUCCCAGGCCUUCCCCCAGAUAGUUGAUUGCUCUUGCUCUCCAUCCCAAAAUCCCUGCCCAAGUUCAUCAUAAAGUGAAUGGACCGACUCCUCUGCAGGAUGGAGUGAUUCUGUCUUAGUCUCUUUGUUUUAAGAUUAUGGACCAAUGCUCCAGGAACUUUAUAUCUUGUACUGUUGGGUGAAAAAUAAAGAGGGGAACUCUAGCUCAGGAGCCAUUAGCCGGUACCAAGAAGGAAAAUGGAGCUUGUCCUGCAGUCAGGUGAACAAGACAGUGAUUUUGGUCUGAGUAGAACCACAUGCAGUUGAGACAAAAAAGCUCAAAAUGUUUAAACAGCUGUAAAUCCUAUGAGCAGUGAAAAUGUCCCCAACAUCCUAGGAGGUUUGUUUUUGUUGUUGUUUAAACUGUAAUCACUACAAUAAACAUUUUUCUAUAGAGGAUGAAAAAUCUAAAUUUGAACACUGUUGUCUGUAUUCUAUGUAAUGGCUAUGAGAAUGGUGAGAUUUUUGUUUUCUCUUAGGAAUGGGAAAUUCAUCUAUAUUCCCCUUAAAUUUUAAAAAAUAUAUUAAAGAGGAAAUUGUUUGUGUUCUCCCAAUGAAUAGUAACCUAGUAGAAAUUAUUUUUCCUAUUAAAAAU
rnacentral:lncRNA from 1 species